AAAAAAAUCAACUGUUUUCUAGAAGGGCGUACAUAUAGGCAUCGCGUGCCUAGCGUCGGCUACCGUGACUGCGGCGUCGGCGGCUGGGACCAGCGGCUGUGCGUCCCCUCUCUAGAAGCUUCGUCCGUCUUCACCAUCUGUGCAGGUUAGGUGAAAAACGUUGUAGCCUUUUCCUCCCCAACAACGCAUACUCUUAGCUAGGGUUUCAACGCAUCUGACAGCUGAAGCUAGGGCGUCGCCACCGUCAAUGUCAUGGCACUCCCGCUCUGUUCACCAAUCGCAUCGACAGGUAACAGUCCAUCAUCUCCGUAUCACCUCCUUGGAUCCUCCUCCGUUCGGUGACUUCCACAGCAUGCCGCCAGGAGCCCUAUCCUCAAUCAUGUCUUUCCCGCCGAGCUACACACCUUCAUGAGCCCACCCCCUCCUCCCCCAAACGACGCCGGGUGACAAGGAGGAAAAGUAGUAAUGACGACAUGCAAACUGAAUAAGAUUAUGUAUUUUGAAUACGAUUCUAGAGAUGCACACGCUCUGUUCAUCAAUGCUGCUACGUUUUGAAGCUUCAGCAUUUCAUUACUGCUACAAAUAUAUGUACACAGUAAUAUAAUCUCUAAGCUCCUCAUGUUGCUACAUUUGUAAACUUCAAUAUUUCAUUACUGCUACAAAUCUAUUUACAGUUCCAAUUG
rnacentral:lncRNA from 7 species